UUUGUCAACAGGACCUUGAAGACACACUUGUAUGUUCAGCCUUUUUUAAUAUUAGAAAGGAUUACAUGGCAUGCAUAUUAAAACAUCAAAGGUAUGAACAGCAAAGAAAGGAAGACAGGAAAUAGAAUAUUUUAUUCGUUUCAAGUAUACAAGGAGCAGACACGUGUUUUGAAUGUCACAAAAUUUCUUUCUAUUAUUGAGUGUCAUUCCUCUAGCUAUACCUGUUGUAUUGUUGCGUUAUCGGCUACGAGUAACUUCAAUAAUAUUUCCUCCAUUAUUGCUGUAAUAUUGAUAAUAAAAUAUGAAUUUCGCAGUACUUUAGAGCAAAAUAGCCGGCUGUCUACUACCGCUUUUCUGACCUGUUGGUGACGUCCUAUAGUUGGUCAAAGCGCAUGUGUAAUAUUGCGUGUAUCAACUGCAAAGAAAAUUUCUUCAAACCAACUAAAAUUACCAUAAAUUAGAUUGGAUAUUGUAAAAAAGAACACGUUGUAAAGAUUUUUACUUUAUGUAACUGCGCGCUACAAAAUGGUAUCAAUGGCGAUAUCCAUUGUUCUUUGUUUCACCGCUAGAUGAUGUUAGUAGUUAGUAUUUUCAGUGCGCGCUUUCUGAUAACGUAUCAAAGAUCAUCUCACGAGUUACAGUAAGUCGAAAAACUCAAUCAUUGCAAGAGAAGUAAGCAAAAUUCAAUUUCAUCAGUUUCGAUGGUGCCCAUGAAAUGAAGCUCUGCUGGCGUCAACGAAGCGCAAAACAUUUAUUUUAAGAAAACAGGCAAUUUUCUUUUGCUUUCGACUGUCCUUCGCCACUAGAUGGUGGUGGUAACGCCAUUUUAAAAAGUUCAGUUACAAAAGGGCGGUAGUUUACUAAUUCAAGUAAUAGAUGUACGAAUUGGAAACUCCAUUUGUCGAUGAAGAGAUCAUCAAUGUUGAAAGAAUAUUUAACAUAUAUCUGUUAAUAUCGGUAAAUAUCAAGAAUAUAUACUACAUAACAUAUUAAAAAAUAGAAGAUGCUUCGCUUGUUGAAGCAACAUAUAUCACGUUCGGUGGAAAAGUAUCGCAGAAAUAUGAACUUGAAAAAGCACAGCUAGAAGACAGCAAGAUGACCUGUCAGCGGCCUCGUUGAGCGACUCCUCUUGCACCUCGUGCAUGUUCGUCGUCCGAUUUACAUACUUGCAUUCCAGACGACGAGAAAGAGGAAUAGCUUUCUUUUUUUUUUUUCGUACCAAUUUAGUAUCCGGUUCACGCGAUAGUACUACAGAAGUGAACAAAUAUUUUCAAAGUUUUUACACUUUACUAUAAGAAUUAAAGUAGAAACACACGACAGAGAAAAUUCAAUCGCGUUUCUCACGACGAACAGAUUCAGAUUCACAGGCAAGGAUGAAUCUUAUUGCGAGAAAAAUCUUAAUGAGAAAUUAAUGUCGGUUAUGAAUCUGUUUCGUGUAAGCCGACACCACGUGCGAUCUACCAUCUUGCAUAGCGAGAGUUCUCUAAUUUAUUACAUAAGCAAUCUCCUUUGCCUCUUAAUUCUCUAAGACGAUUCAAGGGAAUAACCGAUAGAUGGUUAAAUCGAUGAAACAAAGGGUCAUUUAUCUCUCAAAAUGACGAUGCUGCAAAACUUGUAGCUGUAAUCAUAGUCAAGUAUAUUAACAGGAUAUAUUUUAUAGUGACCGUAGAUACAAUGAGUACAUUGUAAUCGUGUUGACUAUACAUUUUUAUACAAACAUAGAUUCGCCAGAGAAAAUGAGAAAGAGCUAAAGAGAGUUUAGCCUGAUUCAUCGCUGAAUUUCCUAAACGCGUUCUUUAUCCCUUUUCCUUGACCACGAUAAUGAUAUUGUCACCAAACUAUUUUCGGACAUGACAGGCUGGAUAAUCGGAUCACGUUUCCGCGAAGAGGUGCAAGCACGUGAUUUUAUGGUAACAUCUCCAAAAGAGCCGGCACUAUUUGAACACGUGACAGAAGGAACCUCCAGGAAAACUCCAUAUUACUCAAAUAAGUAUAUCUUUGCUACCCAAAAGGAAGGCUCCGAGACGUGUUCGUCAUUUUUAUGGCCGGGACAGGCAACAAGCUGUUCCAAUAGAAAUUCGUUCGGCAUUACUAUAGCAGCAAGUUACUAUCUUCUUUAUAGCCUCCUGUGAAGGAUCUCGAGGCACUGGCUGGUUCCUCUUUAACUUCUCUGGAAAAAGAAAUCUUGUUUUCUCUGUUCAGGAAGAGAAAAUAAUGAAAUUACCAAAAAUGUACAUCAGUAAGGAAUGAUUGAAGCUACGGAGAAGAAGAUCUUAAGUGACAGAAGCGAAUAAUACGAGCUAGCGAAAAGCAUAAAUCAUAUUCCGCGGGACGACGCUUCAAACUGUCUGACAAACCAGAGGAGUUCUCAGAAUUCGCUUGUGGACGAGAAGCAGGGGACUAGGAAAGAGCUUGCCAUUAUCAACAAAAAAGAACAAUUCUUUAUCGUAACCGCAAAACUAACGUCACCUUGUUAAUAUUUACUCCAUUCGGCUUGAUACAUGCAUACGACAAUCGUAGACUCUCUAAUUCGAUUCGCAAUGAAGAGCUUAAAUUAACAAUAUUUUUAUUCGUAGCUAUAUAAAUAUAAAUAGGAGCUCAAUGUGCGCGAUCAUCGAAGCGGCUGGCUGAAAAGAAAUGGUUUUCUUUAGCCAGGCUUGCGAGGUGUACAACACGCUUUCGAUGAUUCUCGAGCACGCAAUGCCAUUUUCUUUCUUUUCUUUUUUCUUUACAACUUGUACAUACUUGGUCUCUCGGACAGCAGAGUCUAUUUAACGUUUGCUCAUCGCAAUUGUUUCAAAGUUUCAUCGACACUACGUUUACAAAUUGUAACACGUUACACUUUGUUUCAGGUCGUUUCACAUACUGUACUUGAUCUGAUCGUAAUACAUCGUCGUCGGUGGUGUGGUCGUCGUGUGAUGAAUGUUCGAAGAAACUGUACCGGGUAUGUUUGAUAUACUCAAUCCACCGAUGUUGCUCAAGUUGAGAGAGCUUAGAGAGCUUAACGAGCUCAAGGUAACCGAUCCAGCCGGAUGACCAAAGUAGGACGGUUUACGGUCGAUCAGUCCACCCCCGGAACUGUUCGAAUUCGAAUUCGGACACUGCAUCUUUAUCCCUGGAACACAAGAAGAAGCACGAAAUCUUUUUGUCUCCUCGAACGUUCGUAUACGAGAAACAGACAAAAAAUAAUUACGGUAAAUCCACGUUCGCAAUAAGGGAAGGAAAGGGAGGAAUUUUCGAUUUUCCAUAGAAAGUCUAUUUUCCUCGGUACUGUACCUUCAAGAUCAACGACGUAACACGAUUUUAAAAGCAACGAGCGUCUCAAUGGCAAUUGGAGUCCGGUUUAAUUCCAGAUCGAAGGCAAGUGUAACGAGGGUUUUAAAACGGCGUCGUGUGUGGUCUCAAUGGCAGUGCCGUCAGUCAAAAUCUCUUCCCGUCUCUCCUCUCUACCCUCGGAGCGUAACGUCGAAAUACGAUGGCAGUAAAAGAGCACAGAACCGGCUUCCUCGGCGAAUAUCGGAGCCGGCGUUACCAACAACGAUGCCGUAGUAGAGAGAUCGCUCCAGAAAUACAUUCCAACAGCGACGGGGUAGAAGAAAAAGGAGAAAGAGGAAAACUGGGGCCAACCGAGACGUCUGCAGAUUGAUCUCGUUUACACUUUACUGACUGAACGCCAGGAGAUGGAAGGGAGGAGAAAGGGUUGCGUGGGUGGCACGUUUAUCCCUUGUCGAUUUCACGAUGUAUCGAGGUGGAAAGAAGGAAUAGAUUGUACUUAUAACGGGAGUGUAGGAAUGGGAACGAUCUGUUGAUCGGAACGAUGGAUAUACAGGCUUUCCUAACAAUAUUGAUAUAAAAUUGGAAGGUGUCUGACAACCGCUGUGCGGUGAGCUGACGUUUCCAACAGGACUACUGUUCCCAGUCUGCUCCGGAAUUCCUUGCAUGGCGACGUUUACAUUGUUCCCGGUAUUGUUCACGCCAGCAAGCCCGUAGCCGACGUAAUAAUCCUGUCCGGUUGCUUGAGUAGUCGGUACCGGAUUAGACGGGCACUUAGAAUCCUUCCGUGGCCGCCUUGUAGGCGAGUUGAUCCUGAUUCCUGGACGCGUAUCCUGGCUCGCUCUUGAACGCCACGAUCUCACCGUUUCUGUAGACCGACGGUUCCCCAGUCUUGUGUUAGAUUCUCGUAACCGGACGGCUGAACGCCGACCGGACCACUUCCGGCGAAGUAUUGAGGAUACUGUGGCUUCAGAGCUUGACAUUUGCGACGGAAACCUCGUGGCCGUCGACGGAAACUUCCCUCUUCGAACAUGUACUCCGUCGAAGGAUCGAUCGUCCAAUAGUGACCCUUCCCUGGUCUGCCCAAACCUUUGGGCAGUUUAAUGAAACACUCGUUCAAGCUUAAAUUAUGUCGCACCGAAUUCUUCCAGCCUUGAUAAGCGCCACGGAAGAAGGGGAAGUGUUGUUGCAGGAACGAGUAUAUUUCCGAGAGGGUUAAUCUCUUUCCAGGACUAGACUGAAUCGCCAUUACGAUCAACGCUAUGUACGAGUAGGGUGGUUUCUCCUGGCGACGCGCACCUGGCUUCCUUGGUAAUUCUGUGCUGGAUGGAUUGCACAUCAGUGGGUCCAAACUUUGUUCUUGGUUCGAGUUGCUGGUCAUCGACAAGCUCGUUCGUGGAACCACCGAGUUGGAGUUGGCAUGGGCGACGGUGGAUUGAUCCUGGAGAUGCAGACUCGUCUCCGAUUCGUUUUUCAUGGCGACGCUGGUUCCGCGAGGUGUCGACGGCACUAUCACUGUCUGAUCCAUCAAGUCCCUGAUCAAACGAAUUUGAUCCUCAGGAUCUCGUUGCUAGCAUCGAGCACUGGACACUUCUUAACAAUCCACCAGUUCACGGUAUAUUUACUAUUUAUGUUUGCCACGGCGUAGAGCGAUUCGCGUGGCAGCCACGCGUUUAACUCGGUAAUCACAAUAAGAAGGAAGAGGAGAGAGGUCGUUAUUUACGUGUGGUCGAUGUAAAUUGUUUGCACGGUGCCGCACGGUGGGGUCAAUUAUUUAGACUUGCCACUUGGCAGACGUUUCGCUGAUGCGCCGCUAAGUGUUUUCGGAUGACUGGACCCGGAGAUCAACUUCGGACCUGGUGGAAGCUUGGUACGACGCGAUGACGCGAGACACGCCGUCACGACCCCAGCUUCGUCCCUGGUGGGCGUAACCAGCGAGGGUGAUGUAUCUUGGCUCUCUAUUGGUUGCUGCUUAGAGUUCAGCAUUGAAGCUCGUGGUCGCGACCAAUAGCAGAUGUCUACAAUUUUACAGUGUCACGCUUGAUGACAUUAAGCUUUAGAUAUUGAGAAUGAUUAUCAGACUCGCUGAUCACUUUGUAAUUGAUAAUGAUUACAUAAGCCUCUUAGAUUUCUUUAUUGCAGAAAAAUGUUGCGGAUGGUUAUUGGAUUGUUUUCUGAUUGUCAGUGAUGGAGACUGUUGUCUGAGGCUUCGAUAUUAUUAGAAGGAGAACGAGGAGGGUUUUUAUUUAUUAGAUGACUAUUAUAAUUAAUUGAAUUAGAACACAGCGAUUCCAGACGGUUGGAAAAAUCUCCAUGAAACGAUUGGUCCACCUGUUGGCCAACGAAGCGGCAGACUCAUGCUCCGCCCGCGCAUAGAACCGCCCUCCAUCAUCCGCUUCGAUCUUCUCUUCGAAUCGCUGCAUCAUCGGUUUAUCCUGAAAUCAGUGUCGAUUAUCUAGAAAUUUAGCCAGUGAUGUCAGUUUCCGACUGAACCGACUCGUCAUUACGAAUCAUCGAUUCGUGCAACACAAAAUGUCGAUUCUCCACCAUUAUCCCUCUUUGCAACAUUUAAAACCUUAAUGAUGUAACAAGGAAUUGCAUAAAUUUUCAAAUAUCCGAUUAUAGCAGCAGUAUUUCGUCACCACCUUGGCUAGAUUACAACGAUCCGGCUGUCAAUUAACUCGUUGAUCGGAGCCGAUCGAAGCGAAAUGUUUAUUCGUCAAAGCACGUGACGAGGUGUCGAGUAACUGGUCCUGAAAGAAAGGAAGCGAUCAAGGCUUAUCAUGAAUUACGGCUCUCUACUUGAGUUUCCGGUCGGGAUUUCGCUGCAUCGAACACGUAGUCAAAAAUGUUUCAAGGAAAGCAGAAAUUCAGUGACGUAGCAUCGAAGGAGCAAUUAUUUAAUGUCAUCCAACGUCCGUCCGACGAUAUCAUCUGCCCUGCGCUCUUUAGACCACGAAUUCUCAAGAAGUUUGUUUGCCUUACAGCGAACGAUCCGACGAAAGAGGAGCGUCACGGCCAUCUUGUCUUUGCCUUCGAGCUGAAUCCCUGCAACGGCUGGUUCCUUCACUCUAAUUAAACUCAUCACGAUAUCGCUAAAACCUUCUCGAUAUUCUUAAUUUCUAAAGAAAUAAGAGACCACACUCUUCGAAGCGUACGAGACUCUUGGCAAUGGACCUCGUGCCUUAAGGGUUGAAAGUGAAGUGGUCGUCUUUUCUCUUAGAGGCCAACCCUCCGGAGAUAGUGGCGCCCAACAGUGUUUACCAUUUUUACUGCUUCCAAGAUUUCCUCGCGACGUUUUCUGCGACAGCUUCAAGUGGCCCUUGGAAAAUACUAUGUAAUUGAGUCCUAGAUGUCUAGGAGGAAAAAUUAUAUUGAAGAAAAAACAUCCAGCUCCGUUUCUGCUUUGAGACGACAACGCAUAUUGAAGCUAUCCGUUUAGAGCAUCCAUCAGCGGUCGAGUACCUGUCGGAUACUACCUGAGCUACUCCCGGAGGUGAAUGCGCCGCGGCAUCUUUUAAGGAAACUGAUAUCUUUUCUCUGGUCGUUUCUCACGGGCAUCCUUGAGACGUAGACAUCGGGGCGGGCUGUUUUCACCGCUUUAGAAAAAUCGAAUCGCCCCGAAGAGCGACAAGCGAAGGGUGAGAGGUCUACGUUGGUGGUAAUCAUCCACGAUCGAUCUCUCCAGAUGCUCGUAAAUUUCUGUGAAACCGACGCGCCGUUCGUCGUGGUUUCCUCGAGCACCGUCUAAUUUCCCCUGGAUUUCUGCAGUCCAUCCUUGGCGUACAGUGUCUGGAUAGUGUUUCUUUUGCGUAAGAUCAGGCCUCGUCGGUGGAACAGUUCUAAAGAGGAACGGAGAGGGAAUACCAGCUCUCAAAAUAAGACAUGUUUAUCCGCUGAUGCUGCUAUUUUGGAAAGCGCGCAAGUCCCUCUCCUAUACGUGUAUUCUGGAUCAUUAACGACAGAAGAUGAGAGACUGUAUAGGUAUAAAUGAAUUAUUUUUAUUAGAAAAAUUUUUCAAUAUUCGACAACUCUACAAUAUAGUAGAGACUUUGAAAAUUUUUUUCCAAUUUUAAAAACGCGAAACAGUCUAGUUCGUCGAAUCAGAAUUAGCUUCGAUGCAACAGUUCAUCGGACAUAACAGAAUCUCUCGUGAAAGAAGACUCAGUUUAGUAAUUUUUAAAAUAAUCGCGAUAACGUUUCGUUGCAUCAAAGGAUGAUUAUUUUCACGUGAAAGCUCGUUGAAGGCACGUUGUAAUAGCGCUUGUCUACGAAUGAACGCCUUCCUGCUGCGUAGAAAUUUUUCACUAACCGGGACGCACCCCCGUGGUGCUUGGUUGUUUACGCAACGUAUGUACCCCACUUAAUCCAGUGUUUUAGUGUUUAGAUCUCGACUACCGUAGGGGGUUGCACUGACACGACCUCUCCGAGAUUCCGUCUCUACGGUCUUUCGACCCUUUUUUUUUCUUUCCUCGCCUCUCUUUU